CGGAAUUAUUGGGCGUAAGCGCGCGCAGGCGGUCCCUUAGUCUGAUGUGAAAGCCCACGGCUCAACCGUGGAGGGUCAUUGGAAACUGGGGGACUUGAGUGCAGAAGAGGAAAGUGGAAUUCCACGUGUAGCGGUGAAAUGCGUAGAGAUGUGGAGGAACACCAGUGGCGAAGGCGACUUUCUGGUCUGUAACUGACGCUGAGGCGCGAAAGCGUGGGGAGCAAACAGGAUUAGAUACCCUGGUAGUCCACGCCGUAAACGAUGAGUGCUAAGUGUUAGGGGGUUUCCGCCCCUUAGUGCUGCAGCUAACGCAUUAAGCACUCCGCCUGGGGAGUACGGCCGCAAGGCUGAAACUCAAGGGGAAAUUGACGGGAC
rnacentral:rRNA from 1 species